rnacentral:rRNA from 1 species
AGAACCCACACGACGACUUAGGUCAUAUCUCCGCCUCGAGCGCAUCUCCACGAUCCAGUGCGCCCCUCCACCGCCAGCACCGGCCACCGCCCCUCCGCCGUGCGCCGCCCCCAACCCUGCGGCUUCAGUAGAUCCGCACCACCGCCGCCCUUCCUCUCCACCGUCGCCCGCGCCCGCCCGCGGUCAUCCAUCACCGCGUUCUUAAUGGCUUCAGUGACCACGGCGCCUCGGCUGCGACCCUGGCCUGCUUGACCGCCGGAUGGAUGGAUACCGACCGAGCUCAUCCUUGGCGCUCCGGCUGCGACCCAUGGUUGAUUGGCCGCCGGCUGGAAGGGGACGUCUCCUCCCGACUAAGCUUGAUGUGGGGCGGUGGACUGACAGCCUGGUGUUUGAGGCAGCAGCGCACAAGCGGUGACUUGCAUCCAGUAGGAGGCAGCAAGAAGCAGCAACGACUCUGAGUUAGGUGCUAGCAAUGCACCCCCUCCCCAUUCAUCUACGUAAAUGGAUUUUCAACGGCCAAACUACCCUCUUGAUUCUUUCUUUAGUGUUUUCAGUUUUUACUAACAAUCCAUAUUUGGUAAACCGUGAAAUCUGUUCAGAAGCAUCUGCCAACAACCUGUUUGAUGUUAUGCAUACCAUGGAUUGAGAUACAGUCUAAUUUUCAGGACGCGAUGUACGCCGGCACGCACACGGCAAGGUGACCCCAGCUGAAAACGUGGAGAGGGGGUCGUUCCGGGGAAGCGUAGGGAGGCGGUUGUUCCGGCGGCGGCGGCUUCCUAUGGCACUGGGUCCAACUGAGGGAGAGGGAGAGGCAUGAGAUUGCUGUGUCGCCCGAGCUGAAGGGCGCUCACGCAUCGUAUAUGUCCAGAUUAGCAAGAAAUCACUCAAAACUAAUGUGUACUAUAUGUUAUAUUCUGAUCUAUCUAUGCAUACGCCCUGUAUGGGUGAGGAGCUGCACCUUUCCAAAUUUUACAUGGCCAAAGUUCUGCAGGUGUAUGGGGUUUCUUCAGGACCAACAGCGUGGAUGUUCAGGCGAGAUAGCCAUGAUGGGAACACGAUUCAUAUGCUUCAGUUCCAUCCAUGCUCAGGCCAAUAUGCAAAUUGCUGGUGGAGGACAACAGGGUCGACGAGAUGCACAAUUCCUAUGCUUCAGGCGACACAGCCAUGAUGGGAACACGACUCAUAUUCUUCAGUCUCUAUUUCGACUAAGCUGUGAUUAGAGUUAUACACUGCUUCCUUCCUGAAGUGACGAGAGAUGUCAGUUAUAUACAGAGAAGCUUGAGUGGAUGUGCGUUUGGGAUUAUACAAUUUAAAGGCCACUUUAUUUUUUGCUUUUAGUGUAUGGACCUGGAGGUUCUACCUAAUAGUAGUAGCUUAUUGACUUCUGAAAGCAAUAUAAGCCCAAUAGUCUUUGCAAAAUAAAAAACGCCAACUACUGGUUUUAUAGCCAGUUAGACCGUAUAAUCACACUAAUCUUUUCUUUUAUUGGGUUGAACUCCAGUUAUUUUGUAAUUACUACAUUAACAAACUGUUCUUCACAUUCGGUUGUGAUUUGGUUUCAAAAGUUCAUUUUUACAUUAAUUUCGUCUCAAUGUUAUGGUAGGC